UCCUACGGGGGGCAGCAGUGAGGAAUAUUGGUCAAUGGCCGGAAGGCUGAACCAGCCAAGUCGCGUGAGGGAAUAAGGCCCUAUGGGUCGUAAACCUCUUUUGUCAGGGAGCAAAGGCGUCCACGUGUGGACGAGAGGAGAGUACCUGAAGAAAAAGCAUCGGCUAACUCCGUGCCAGCAGCCGCGGUAAUACGGAGGAUGCGAGCGUUAUCCGGAUUUAUUGGGUUUAAAGGGUGCGCAGGCGGCCUGUUAAGACAGCGGUAAAAGCCCGGGGCUCAACCCCGGCGAGCCGUUGAAACUGGCGG
rnacentral:rRNA from 1 species